ensembl:lncRNA
AUAUCAGUGAUACAGAUUUCCUGAGGAGGGAAGCGGGCAGCUGGGCAAAGACAUUGCAUGUUCCUCAGCACUGCAGCUCUCUGCCAAGGAAUGGAGAAAGUUGUUGGCUGAAGAUGCAGGCACCUCUCAUGGUACCUCAAUGAAACGUCACCAGGUCAGUACACGUGGUGAGCUCCACCCAGCUGCUCUUGAAACAUCUUAUUUUUGCUGUGAUGCAUCAGGGAGUCAACCAUGUCUUCGGGAGUGCCCUUGGAAAUUUUCAAGAGAAAAAUUAUUGACUCGAGAUGGAGAAGAACUGGGACAAGAAUGCCCUUGCUUCCAGACUCUUCAUCACCCAUCUGUGAUUCUUACAUUCAUGUGACUUGAACCAGAAAGCCAUAAUGUAACCAAACGCAAUAAUCAGGCGGGGGAAAGAAGGGAAGGAGAUUCCUUUGGUGCUUUGCUGAAAGCUGAUGUGGAUAUGAUUGCUGCUGGUCACCUCCUGUGACCACGCAUGCGACUGCAUUGUGCCCAGCUGCUGCUGUGCCCAGCCAUUCCACAGGCUCUGUCAUCUCCUUGGCAUCCCACUGGAAGGGACUGUAGGAGGAAAGGGCCGUGUUUCAUGUGAGAGAUGUCAGAUCAGAUUCCAGUCCCUAUGGAAAUGGUGUUGUCAGUGAAGUUAGGCAACAGGAAUAUUUUGCUAUGGAGGAGACACUUCUGAAAUGCUGUGAUCAGGGGUGACCACUGCUCAGAGAGGCCUGAAGUGUUCUGUGAUGUUUUGAAUCCCAUGCAACCAUACCAGAGGGGAUGAAUUUUUUGGACCAUCACAGCCAGUCCCAGAGUGGGAUGGGAAUGAAGCAGCAGAGGCUGAUGAGAAUGCCUUUCUUCAACUGAGGGCGUGAAAGAACAAUUUCCCAUUGCUAGGAAUGGAGGUGCUGAGUUAACAUCAACUUUGCAGACUGUGUUGAUUUUCUGCGUGGUUCACUCUAGGCUUCCUAUAACAGACAGCUUAUUAUCUCGCCUUGUGAAAAUCAUACUUGACUUCUGGGAGACGUCUAUCAAAAAGAAAGAAUAGACUGAGAAGCUGGUACUUUCGAUCUAAUUAUCUGGAUUGGUGGUUGUUCAGUGAACCUAUUAACUGCUUGAAGUGACUUGCAUCUUCACAGGUACAGUAUGCAUGAUCAUUCUCUGCACUAUUUAAAUGGGAAAUGCUACAGCUGUUAUGUGUCCCAGUCUGUUUUCUCCUCACUUGGUUCCCAAAUGCAUCUGGCUUCACUCAUGAGGAACAGUAGAGCCCAUCUUGCAUCUUCUGAACUAAUGACUGUAGGUGAAUGUUCCCAACUCCCCUUAUCUCUUAUCCUUGACUAACCACCUCAGUUCAAGGUUUAUGCCUUUCAGUGAAGCACUCAAGCACACUCUUAAUUUUAAGUACAUCAUUUCAUUGAGUAGAGAAGGAUUUAAGUACCAACUUGUAGUCUGUGGCUAGUCAGCACUUCAAGUUUCCUAGCCAAUUGCUAAGUUAAAAGUUAGGAACCAGCCCUGACAGUUUGCAUCUUGGUGAACAGUGUGCUUUCUGGUAGUGACAGGCAACACUGUUCAAGCCUUUCAUAAUACUCCAGAGUAGAGAUGCAUAGGGUCUUGGGCCCACUUCUUUCUGAGAAUGAAAGAAAGGUGCUCCCUAAAGACAUACUUGUGACUUGGAAAAAAAGGGACAGGGAAAUAUUUCCCAACCUUAUCUGGUUGUGGC